UUCAAACCUGUAAAGAGACUCCAAGGGAUGGCAAAACGGGCUCGGCCCGCUGGUCAUGCCCGUUUUACCCGCACUUUUGUGCGGGGCGGACCAAAGAUUUAGGUCCUUACCCUCAAAAGUCUCUGUCCCGUCCCGCCCCGUUUUUUUCGCGGGCUUUUGUGGGAAUAUAUAUUUACAUAAAUUUUUGCAUUUUUAGAUUUAAAUACUGCAGUGCCCGCGAGCUUUCCCCGCUCCGCCCUCACUUUUUGAUCCGAUUUGAUCCGAUUUUCCAUAUCUUCUCUUUUCCCCCUUCCCAAUGUAGCUUCUGUUUCGGAUUAUGAAGCUCUAAGAAAAAUGGUGGAAACGAUGCCUUCUCUCUUGUGAUUGAAGCCUUCGCAAAUCGAAGAUUCAGUUGAACUCUUGCCGGAUGAAGGUUCGGUUGAGGCUCUUGCAGAAUUGAGGUUCCGUUGAGGCACUUGCAGAAUCGAGGUUCUGUUGAGGCACUUGCUGAAUCGAGGUUCCGUUUAGGCACUUGCAGAAUAUUGGAGUCUAAUUCUUGGUGAGAAAAUCAGAGUUUGAACUUGGUGAAGACUUCAGAGAGAGAACUUGGUGAAGGUUUAUGUUCAUCAAUCAAGCAUGCUAUGAAGUGGACAAUGGUUGGACAACAUUUCAUGGCAUCCAAGUUGUAAUUUAAAGUAUCCAUCAUGAAAUGGUCAACAAAAGAUCAAGAGUUAAACAUUGAAUAUCGGAUUAGACAUAGGAUGAGGAUUUAGGGUUUUAGGAUGAAGAGGGGUUGAGUUGACUUUGGUCAAAGUUGACCAAAAAGUCAAUAGUUGACUAAAGUCAACAUUUGGUCAACAUGUGUUUUUUUGUGUAAUUUUUGUAAUGUAUGAACACUUCUGAUGGAUUGUAAUGAUGGAAUUGACAUUUUGAAUGAAAUAUGACACCCUGAAUGGAUUUUAUGUGAA